UGGUGUCAUUGAGCAGCAGGUUUUGCUGUUUGUUAAAGAUGUUUAUUCAUAUUUGCUUGAAAUAAGCAUGACUGCUAAUUGUAUUUUAUCUCUGCACCCCGAUGAUCACCAACGAUAUGAGGAAAAGCUCAAAGUAGUGACUCCCUCAUGAUUGCUCAUAUAAUGAACGCUUUAAGCACGACCUGACUGGGU